UAGGGAAUCUUCGGCAAUGGACGGAAGUCUGACCGAGCAACGCCGCGUGAGUGAAGGAGGUUUUCGGAUCGUAAAGCUCUGUUGUUAGAGAAGAACGUUGGUAGGAGUGGAAAAUCUACCAAGUGACGGUAACUAACCAGAAAGGGACGGCUAACUACGUGCCAGCAGCCGCGGUAAUACGUAGGUCCCGAGCGUUGUCCGGAUUUAUUGGGCGUAAAGCGAGCGCAGGCGGUUCUUUAAGUCUGAAGUUAAAGGCAGUGGCUUAACCAUUGUACGCUUUGGAAACUGGAGGACUUGAGUGCAGAAGGGGAGGGUGGAAUUCCAUGUGUAGCGGUGAAAUGCGUAGAUAUAUGGAGGAACACCGGUGGCGAAAGCGGCUCUCUGGUCUGUAACUGACGCUGAGGCUCGAAAGCGUGGGGAGCAAACAGG
rnacentral:rRNA from 1 species